GACGAACGCUGGCGGCGUGCCUAAUACAUGCAAGUCGAACGAACUCUGGUAUUGAUUGGUGCUUGCAUCAUGAUUUACAUUUGAGUGAGUGGCGAACUGGUGAGUAACACGUGGGAAACCUGCCCAGAAGCGGGGGAUAACACCUGGAAACAGAUGCUAAUACCGCAUAACAACUUGGACCGCAUGGUCCGAGUUUGAAAGAUGGCUUCGGCUAUCACUUUUGGAUGGUCCCGCGGCGUAUUAGCUAGAUGGUGAGGUAACGGCUCACCAUGGCAAUGAUACGUAGCCGACCUGAGAGGGUAAUCGGCCACAUUGGGACUGAGACACGGCCCAAACUCCUACGGGAGGCAGCAGUAGGGAAUCUUCCACAAUGGACGAAAGUCUGAUGGAGCAACGCCGCGUGAGUGAAGAAGGGUUUCGGCUCGUAAAACUCUGUUGUUAAAGAAGAACAUAUCUGAGAGUAACUGUUCAGGUAUUGACGGUAUUUAACCAGAAAGCCACGGCUAACUACGUGCCAGCAGCCGCGGUAAUACGUAGGUGGCAAGCGUUGUCCGGAUUUAUUGGGCGUAAAGCGAGCGCAGGCGGUUUUUUAAGUCUGAUGUGAAAGCCUUCGGCUCAACCGAAGAAGUGCAUCGGAAACUGGGAAACUUGAGUGCAGAAGAGGACAGUGGAACUCCAUGUGUAGCGGUGAAAUGCGUAGAUAUAUGGAAGAACACCAGUGGCGAAGGCGGCUGUCUGGUCUGUAACUGACGCUGAGGCUCGAAAGUAUGGGUAGCAAACAGGAUUAGAUACCCUGGUAGUCCAUACCGUAAACGAUGAAUGCUAAGUGUUGGAGGGUUUCCGCCCUUCAGUGCUGCAGCUAACGCAUUAAGCAUUCCGCCUGGGGAGUACGGCCGCAAGGCUGAAACUCAAAGGAAUUGACGGGGGCCCGCACAAGCGGUGGAGCAUGUGGUUUAAUUCGAAGCUACGCGAAGAACCUUACCAGGUCUUGACAUACUAUGCAAAUCUAAGAGAUUAGACGUUCCCUUCGGGGACAUGGAUACAGGUGGUGCAUGGUUGUCGUCAGCUCGUGUCGUGAGAUGUUGGGUUAAGUCCCGCAACGAGCGCAACCCUUAUUAUCAGUUGCCAGCAUUAAGUUGGGCACUCUGGUGAGACUGCCGGUGACAAACCGGAGGAAGGUGGGGAUGACGUCAAAUCAUCAUGCCCCUUAUGACCUGGGCUACACACGUGCUACAAUGGAUGGUACAACGAGUUGCGAACUCGCGAGAGUAAGCUAAUCUCUUAAAGCCAUUCUCAGUUCGGAUUGUAGGCUGCAACUCGCCUACAUGAAGUCGGAAUCGCUAGUAAUCGCGGAUCAGCAUGCCGCGGUGAAUACGUUCCCGGGCCUUGUACACACCGCCCGUCACACCAUGAGAGUUUGUAACACCCAAAGUCGGUGGGGUAACCUUUUAGGAACCAGCCGCCUAAGGUGGGACAGAUGAUUAGGGUGAAGUCGUAACAAGGUAGCCGUAGGAGAACCUGC
rnacentral:rRNA from 2 species